UACGUAGGCAGCGAGCGUUGUUCGGAGUUACUGGGCGUAAAGAGUGCGUAGGCGGUUUUCUAAGUUUGGUGUGAAAUCUCCCGGCUCAACUGGGAGGGUGCGCCGAAGACUGGAAGGCUUGAGUAUGGGAGAGGUAAGCGGAAUUCCUGGUGUAGCGGUGAAAUGCGUAGAUAUCAGGAGGAACACCUGCGGUGUAGACGGCUUACUGGACCAUAACUGACGCUGAGGAGCGAAAGCGUGGGGAGCGAACAGG
rnacentral:rRNA from 1 species